GUACACUCCUACGGAGGCAGCAGUGGGGAAUUUUGGACAAUGGGCGAAAGCCUGAUCCAGCAAUGCCGCGUGAGUGAAGAAGGCCUUCGGGUUGUAAAGCUCUUUUGUCAGGGAAGAAACGGUGAGAGCUAAUAUCUUUUGCUAAUGACGGUACCUGAAGAAUAAGCACCGGCUAACUACGUGCCAGCAGCCGCGGUAAUACGUAGGGUGCAAGCGUUAAUCGGAAUUACUGGGCGUAAAGCGUGCGCAGGCGGUUUUGUAAGUCUGAUGUGAAAUCCCCGGGCUCAACCUGGGAAUUGCAUUGGAGACUGCAAGGCUAGAAUCUGGCAGAGGGGGGUAGAAUUCCACGUGUAGCAGUGAAAUGCGUAGAUAUGUGGAGGAACACCGAUGGCGAAGGCAGCCCCCUGGGUCAAGAUUGACGCUCAUGCACGAAAGCGUGGGGAGCAAACAGGAUUAGAUACCCGGGUAGUCCCAUGA
rnacentral:rRNA from 1 species